GACCUUCAUCCUUCACCCUCCUCCUCCUCUUCGUCCUCCUACUCCUGGUUUACUACUUGUAGAACAACCUGGUGAUCGACACGCCCCGGGUGCGCAAGCAGACGCGCCACUUCAGCACCUUGCGCGACGACGACCUGGUGGAAUUCUCCGACCUGGAGAGCGAGGACGAGGAGCGGCCCCGCUCGCGGCGCCACCACCACCCCCCCCACCACCACCCCCACCACCACCACCACCCCCUCCACCACCCCUACGGCCGCACCGACUGCUUCCGCGUGGAGAAGCACCUCCUGGUCUACGGCUGGGGUCGGUGGAGGGAGAUCCUCUCCCACGGGCGCUUCAAGCGGCGCCUUUCGGAGCGCGACGUGGAGAACAUCUGCCGCGCCAUCCUGGUCUACUGCCUCCUCCACUACCGGGGCGACGAAAACAUCAAGGGCUUCAUUUGGGACCUCAUCAGCCCCAACGAGAACGGCAAGGCCAAGGAGCUCCAAAAUCACUCGGGGCUCUCCAUCCCCGUCCCGCGGGGUCGCAAGGGGAAGAAGGCGAAGGCUCCGAGCGCCUUGGACGUGCAGAAGGCCGAGUGGAUCCGCAAGUGCAACCCCGACGCGCUCUUCCAGGACGAGGGUUACAAGAAGCACCUCAAGCACCAGUGCAACAAGGUGCUGCUGCGGGUGCGGAUGCUCUACUACCUGCGGCAGGAGGUCAUCGGCGACCAGGCGGAGAAGGUGCUGGCGGGGGCCAUGGCCAGCGAGAUCGACAUCUGGUUCCCCUUGGUGGAGCAGCUGGAGGUGCCGACCGCCUGGUGGGACGCCGAGGCCGACAAAUCCCUCCUCAUCGGCGUCUUCAAGCACGGUAGGUCAUCCUCUACAAUUUUUGGGGGCUAAAUCCGGCGUUUUUGGGUCAAGGAGGGUGUUUUUGACGUAUUUUGGGCAGGUUAUGAGAAAUACAACACCAUGCGCGCCGACCCCGCGCUCUGCUUCCUGGAGAAGGCCGGCCGCCCCGACGACAAGGCCAUCGCCGCCGAGCAGCGCCUGGAUAUCGGGGAAGGGUGAGCCCAAAAUCCCCAAAUUUGACCCCAAAACUCAGGCGGUGUCCCCAAGAUCCCAACGGUUUCACCCAAAAUCCAAUGGUGUUCCUAAAAACCCAACGGUGUCCUCAAAAACCCAACGGUGUCCCCAAAACCUCAACAGAUAUCUCAAAGAUGUACCCAAAUCCCCAAAUUUAACCCCAAAACCUCAACUUUGACCCCAAAACCCUGACAGUGUCCCCAAGAUCUCAAUGAUUUCCCCAAAAACCCAACGGUGGUCCUAAAAACCCAAUGAUGUGCUCAAAAACGCAACAGUGUCUUCAAGACCCCAACGAUGUCUCCAAAAACCCAACGAUGUCUUCAAGACCCCAACUUUGACCCCAAAAUCCCCAA
rnacentral:lncRNA from 1 species